CUACGGGAGGCUGCAGUGGGGAAUCUUGCGCAAUGGGCGAAAGCCUGACGCAGCGACGCCGCGUGGGUGAUGAAGGCCUUCGGGUCGUAAAGCCCUGUCGGAAGGGAAGAAUGCCUCGCAAGAGGAGUGACGGUACCUUCCGAGGAAGCACAGGCUAACUCCGUGCCAGCAGCCGCGGUAAUACGGAGUGUGCGAGCGUUGAUCGGAAUCACUGGGCGUAAAGCGCACGUAGGUGGCACGGCAAGUCAGGUGUGAAAGCCCUCGGCUCAACCGGGGAACUGCACUUGAAACUGCCGAGCUUGAGUACGGGAGAGGGAAGCGGAAUUCCCAGUGUAGAGGUGAAAUUCAUAGAUAUUGGGAGGAACACCAGUGGCGAAGGCGGCUUCCUGGACCGAUACUGACACUGAGGUGCGAAAGCGUGGGGAGCAAACAGGAUUAGAUACCCUCGUAGUC
rnacentral:rRNA from 1 species